AUGCGCUGCCACCGCGGCAAAGCUACGAGGUAGAGUGUUUCGGAGGGGUUCAGAAGGAGGACACCCAUGUGGUCGUUUUUCUGCGGCAGUGAACACGUUGCCUAGUCUUCCGGAAAGUCUGAAGCCAACUGGAAAACGCUGCGUUGCUGCACUACUGCAGCGAGUCCUGUUUGAGAGCACGGGCCUGUGCUGGGUGUUGUUGUGGCUGCGCAAGGUGUCAGUGCCGGGUGUUGUUGUGUGAUGCUUUCCGCGAAGAGGCGAUGCAGAGCGCUGUAACUUGGGCUAUUAUGAGUCCAGAACCAGGGUCGUCACGCUAGAGCUUUCUUUGGAACAAGUCAGUUCCAAGAUUGUACAGUAUGAUGUGCGGAACAGCGCUGCUGCGCGCGUUGUAACCUGUUCAACUUCUUUUCCAGAAACGCAGUGUUGAACGUGCGUGAAGAGUUUUGGGCUUCGAUGAGCCUUGCUUGCGCUGCACUAGUUCUGGUGCUACGAUUGAAACCGGACCGGGUACAAUACUCUAUGCCAAAGGCGGCUCGGAACCGAGACUUGACCACAGCAUAGCGAGCCCUCGAGGCCUUUUGCGGGUACGCGCUUGCCGCUUCUUGCGGACCGGGCCAACGCAACGCUUGCACGUGCAAACGUACCGUUGUGUUUCGUGACGUGACGUCGUCGCAGGAAAGAAACUCGAAUCCCAGACUCGGGUGCGUACCGUUUCGGCGAUAUGGAUACGAGGGCGUGUAGUCUUUCAACCCGAGUGCGAUUCACCCCCAGGUGCAUGAUUUCAAAUGCUUUUUCGCGGUUUAUAGCAGAUGCGUUCCAAGUGCGUGCAUUUUGAAGAAAUAAUUAUCUAAUGAAAAGGCAUGGAGAUGGAAGGCGGGGGAUCCUAGAGGGCCGGUGUCAUCGGGGGCCGGAAAAGUAACGAAAAGAAAUCCACUUCUCGCCGGCCAACGAGCGACAAAGAGCAAGGAAUGAAGAAGAAGAAAGAGAAGCGGCGCGAGAGACGGGAAUGUAUUGGUACACAGGGCACGAGGUCCCGGCAUCCUUGUAAUGGUGCGUUCCAUCAGCGGCAAGAAACGGAUGGAGUUCGUGAACCAAGACUUCAACGCAGUCAUCAAAAUCAGACGGUGUGCAGUGCUGAAGAGAAGAGACUCGAGGAACUGACGCAAUCCAAUUUUGCGGGGUUACCUUUCAGAGUCGAAGUGUACAACGAGAAACUCAAGCCGAUAGCAGCCGGCCGGUCAAACAAGACUGGGAGGCGUCUGCGGGUGCGUAUGUGUAUAUACCCUCCAUGGUCGUGAAACGUUGUUCGUUUUAAUGGUCACAUAUAGCAUGCGACUCAACGGAAUGCUGCGACGCAGAAACGACCUACCGACCUCAGUAUCCAUCAUGCGUACUCUGCAAGCGUGGUCGGAACAGGUUCGUGGCGGGCCAGUCAUGGACCAUUGCAUACGCUGCCACGAAGCUGAACGGGAUACUGGACCCUUGUCGAUGUAUUCGACGACGACGUACGACUUGAAACUGUGAUGAUAUUUGGUUUUACAAAUGCCGCUGGUACAUCCAUGCCUGCGCACUUGAGCUUGUCUCUGCAAUGUUCCCCGAAUACCAUCGCGCGCUUUAGAUCAUCAAUACCUGUAUUGCCAGAGAUAAGCAUAUCGUAUAAAUUCGGAUCAU